GUUUUACCCUACUGAUGUGAGGCACAGUCAAGGCAGUUCGAGGGGGCCUCUUGAUGCAGAUAAUUGGCACUUGCCCCAGAUUGAAAUUCCAACGAUGCGACGCUACCGUCUGCCGAACUACGGUCGGACGACUCGGGGGCCAGAAUCCAUGCUACGGGGGGAGCGGCGAUUUCUACUCUCUCGCUAAAUUGUCGAACUUCGAUAGGCCUCCAUUGCGGUUCGUGAACGCCACGUGCAAUUCUACGGAGAGGCUAAUCUCUUGUAGACGACUUGAUGUUGCGAAGGGUAUUAUUAGCGGUAGAGUGUCCCUGUAA
rnacentral:rRNA from 1 species